UCUCCGGUGGCCUAGUGGUUACAACGUCCACCUCGGAUGCGGGAGGUCGUGGGUUCGAUCCCCGGUCGAAUCA